UAUGGCAAUAACCCUCUGAAUGUGCCCAGUCUCAUCUGGUCUUAGAAGCUAAGCAAGAUUGGGCCUGGUUACUUGGAUGGGAAACCAUACCAGUCUCACGGAAAUCUGCUGUUC
rnacentral:rRNA from 1 species